rnacentral:rRNA from 1 species
GAACGCUGGCGGCGUGCCUAAUACAUGCAAGUCGAACCAUCUUCCGUUAAUUGAUUAUGACGUGCUUGCACUGAAUGAGAUUUUAACACGAAGUGAGUGGCGGACGGGUGAGUAACACGUGGGUAACCUGCCCAGAAGCAGGGGAUAACACCUGGAAACAGAUGCUAAUACCGUAUAACAGAGAAAACCGCCUGGUUUUCUUUUAAAAGAUGGCUCUGCUAUCACUUCUGGAUGGACCCGCGGCGCAUUAGCUAGUUGGUGAGGUAACGGCUCACCAAGGCGAUGAUGCGUAGCCGACCUGAGAGGGUAAUCGGCCACAUUGGGACUGAGACACGGCCCAGACUCCUACGGGAGGCAGCAGUAGGGAAUCUUCCACAAUGGACGCAAGUCUGAUGGAGCAACGCCGCGUGAGUGAAGAAGGGUUUCGGCUCGUAAAGCUCUGUUGUUAAAGAAGAACGUGGGUGAGAGUAACUGUUCACCCAGUGACGGUAUUUAACCAGAAAGCCACGGCUAACUACGUGCCAGCAGCCGCGGUAAUACGUAGGUGGCAAGCGUUAUCCGGAUUUAUUGGGCGUAAAGCGAGCGCAGGCGGUCUUUUAAGUCUAAUGUGAAAGCCUUCGGCUCAACCGAAGAAGUGCAUUGGAAACUGGGAGACUUGAGUGCAGAAGAGGACAGUGGAACUCCAUGUGUAGCGGUGAAAUGCGUAGAUAUAUGGAAGAACACCAGUGGCGAAGGCGGCUGUCUGGUCUGUAACUGACGCUGAGGCUCGAAAGCAUGGGUAGCGAACAGGAUUAGAUACCCUGGUAGUCCAUGCCGUAAACGAUGAUUACUAAGUGUUGGAGGGUUUCCGCCCUUCAGUGCUGCAGCUAACGCAUUAAGUAAUCCGCCUGGGGAGUACGACCGCAAGGUUGAAACUCAAAAGAAUUGACGGGGGCCCGCACAAGCGGUGGAGCAUGUGGUUUAAUUCGAAGCUACGCGAAGAACCUUACCAGGUCUUGACAUCUUCUGCCAACCUAAGAGAUUAGGCGUUCCCUUCGGGGACAGAAUGACAGGUGGUGCAUGGUUGUCGUCAGCUCGUGUCGUGAGAUGUUGGGUUAAGUCCCGCAACGAGCGCAACCCUUAUUACUAGUUGCCAGCAUUCAGUUGGGCACUCUAGUGAGACUGCCGGUGACAAACCGGAGGAAGGUGGGGACGACGUCAAAUCAUCAUGCCCCUUAUGACCUGGGCUACACACGUGCUACAAUGGAUGGUACAACGAGUCGCGAAACCGCGAGGUUUAGCUAAUCUCUUAAAACCAUUCUCAGUUCGGACUGUAGGCUGCAACUCGCCUAUACGAAGUCGGAAUCGCUAGUAAUCGCGGAUCAGCAUGCCGCGGUGAAUACGUUCCCGGGCCUUGUACACACCGCCCGUCACACCAUGAGAGUUUGUAACACCC